rnacentral:rRNA from 1 species
UACGAAGGGGGCUAGCGUUGCUCGGAAUUACUGGGCGUAAAGCGCACGUAGGCGGCUCUUUAAGUCGGGGGUGAAAUCCUGGAGCUCAACUCCAGAACUGCCUUCGAUACUGAAGAGCUUGAGUCCGGGAGAGGUAAGCGGAAUUCCUGGUGUAGCGGUGAAAUGCGUAGAUAUCAUCUGGAACGCCAAUGGUGAAGACAGCUCGCUGGGGGUGAACUGACACUGAGACACGAAAGCCAGGGGAGCAAACGGG